ensembl:processed_transcript
GUGAUCGAAAUGUACGAGUGGUUUAAUGAACCUAAAUGCAUUUCAAUGGUCCUGGAGUACCCCAAGCCUUGUGUAGUCCUGACUGACUUUGUAAGCAAGAAGGGCAAGCUGGCCGAACCUGUGGCACGAUGCCUGGUGCAACAGAUAGUCCUGGCAGUCCAGCAUUGCAUCGACAAAGGAAUCGUGCACAACGACCUGCAUUCUGACAACAUCCUGGUCAACAAGAAGACUAUGCAGAUCAAGCUGAUCGACUUCGGCUGCGCUUACAAAGUGGAAGCACACAACUACGAUAAAGCAGUCUUAUCUAGCGCCUGGGCUAUAGGCUGCCUGCUGCAUUACAUGAUGACCGGAGACUUGGUCAACUACUUCGAUGUUAAAGUCAAGGGCAAGAUUUCGCUUCCACCCAGCUUAAUGAGAGACUGCCGAGAUCUGAUCACAAAGUGUCUGAGACAAAACAUGACGCUUGAUCAGUUCUUACAACACGACUGGAUGAAGAGAGCGUAGAAUGAAGACGAGACCCGAUACAGAUGAAGAAAGCAGCAAGGUCUUCUGCAGAAAAUUAACAAAACAUUUCUAUAAAAAACUCAUAAAACCAACACAAACGUCAUAAAGAAGCCAAGAAGAACCCACAUCUAACUGAUCCAGAACCAGAGUCUGUCCUGAGACCCAAACACUGCAGGAUCAGCGUCGUCAUCAGUGCUAGGAAACGGCCUCUUCUGUGCAGGCAAAAAUGGAAACCCGUGAUGGACUCUGAGGAUGUGGAUGGUUAAAUCUGAGUGCAUUUUGAGGAGGACGUGAUGUUCCUCUAGAGGAUGAGGAUGAAGAAACACCAGCACCAGAACAAAGCAUUGGGUCAGGUUUAUAUGAUAAGCAGAAGGUUUAAAACAAUAAUGAAUUACAAAACUGUUAAAAAAUGAGCAAGCAUUACUAAUCUGGCAAAUAAAUCCCCUGAACACAAAUGAAGAGAACUUUAGAUGAAAUCAGAGAGCUCCCUCAUCCUUCAUGGACAGCAACAGCCCCAAGUUGCUCAGAAACAAAGUCCAGAA